rnacentral:rRNA from 1 species
CGUGUAGGCGGUCUAGCAAGUCAGGGGUGAAAUACCACGGCUCAACCGUGGAAUUGCCUUUGAAACUACUGGACUUGAGGCCGUGAGAGGAGACUGGAAUUCCCAGUGUAGCGGUGAAACGCAUAGAUAUUGGGAAGAACACCAGUGGCGAAGGCGAGUCUCUGGCACGGUUCUGACGCUGAGGCGCGAAAGCUAGGGGAGCAAACG